rnacentral:rRNA from 1 species
UACAGAGGUCCCGAGCGUUGUUCGGAUUCACUGGGCGUAAAGGGUGCGUAGGCGGCUCGUUGCGUCGGCUGUGAAAACCCACAGCUUAACUGUGGGCCUGCAGCCGAUACGGGCGAGCUAGAGUUCGGUAGGGGAGACUGGAAUUCCUGGUGUAGCGGUGAAAUGCGCAGAUAUCAGGAGGAACACCGGUGGCGAAGGCGGGUCUCUGGGCCGAUACUGACGCUGAGGAGCGAAAGCGGUGGGGAGCGAACAGG